UACUCACUUACAGUACUAGUUCCCCCAACUGCAGAGGUUAAGCCUGGAAGCGGGGAGAUUAGGGUAGAGGAGGGGGCUAGAGUCAAACUAGAAUGUGUUGUUACAGGAAUACCCUUCCCUCUAGUCCGUUGGUUUAAAAAGAACAAACCGGUUUCUGGUGUACACAACAGCUGUCCAAACCAAACCUGUAUCACAUUGCCAGCUGUUGACAGGAGUUCAGCUGGACAAUAUGUCUGCCAGGCAUCAAAUGGUAUUGGUGAGACUGCUUCAGCGUCUAUAGAUGUUCUUGUUCAAUAUGGCCCCGUGGUGAAGGUACAUGAGCCAAGUGUACAGGGUGGUUCAGGAAAACAGAUUCAGCUAGCCUGUCAGGAAA